rnacentral:rRNA from 1 species
UACGGAGGGAGCUAGCGUUGUUCGGAAUUACUGGGCGUAAAGCGCACGUAGGCGGCUUUGUAAGUUAGAGGUGAAAGCCCGGGGCUCAACCCGGAAUUGCCUUUAAAACUGCAUCGCUAGAAUUGUGGAGAGGUAAGUGGAAUUCCGAGUGUAGAGGUGAAAUUCGUAGAUAUUCGGAAGAACACCAGUGGCGAAGGCGGCUUGCCAGAACGCGCUCGACGGUGAG